rnacentral:misc_RNA from 1 species
GAAAUGCGAUAAGUAGUGUGAAUUGCAGAAUUCAGUGAAUCAUCGAAUCUUUGAACGCACAUUGCGCCCGCCAGUAUUCUGGCGGGCAUGCCUGUUCGAGCGUCAUUACAACCCUCAGGCCCCCGGGCCUGGCGUUGGGGAUCGGCGGAAGCCCCCUGCGGGCACAACGCCGUCCCCCAAAUACAGUGGCGGUCCCGCCGCAGCUUCCAUUGCGUAGUAACUAACACCUCGCAACUGGAGAGCGGCGCGGCCACGCCGUAAAACACCCAACUUCUGAAUGUUGACCUCGAAUCAGGUAGGAAUACCCGCUGAACUUAAGC